rnacentral:rRNA from 1 species
GGGGGGGGGGGGGGGGGGGGGGGGGGGGGGGGGGGGGGGCGGGGAGGGUCCGGCUGGCAGGGGUACUCGAGUGGCGAACGGGUGGGUGACGCGUGGGUGAUCUGCCCUGCACUUCGGGAGAAGCCUGGGAGACUGGGUCUAAUACCGGAUAGGGCCAUCGAUGAGGGUCGGGGGUGGCAAGGUUUUUGUGUGUGGGAUGCGCUCGGGGCCUAUCAGCGGGUUGGUGGGGUAAUGGCCUACCACGGCGUCGACGGGUAGCCGGCCUGAGAGGGUGUACGGCCACAUUGGGCCUGAGAUACGGCCCAGACGCCUACGGGAGGCAGCAGUGGGGAAUAUUGCACAAUGGGCGCAAGCCUGAUGCAGCGACGCCGCGUGGGGGAUGACGGCCUUCGGGUUGUAAACUCCUUUCGCCAGGGACGAAGCGAAGUGACGGUACCUGGAUAAGAAGCACCGGCUAACUACGUG